AGCAUAUCAAUAAGCGGAAGAAAAAGGAAACUAACCAAGGAUUCCCCUAGUAACUGCGAGUGAAGCGGGAAAAGCUCAAAUUUAAAAUCUGGCAGCCUUUGGCUGUCCGAGUUGUAAUCUAGAGAAGUGUUAUCCGCGCUGGACCGUGUACAAGUUUCCUGGAAUGGAGCGUCAUAGAGGGUGAGAAUCCCGUCUUUGACACGGACUGCCAGGGCUUUGUGAUGCGCUCUCAAAGAGUCGAGUUGUUUGGGAAUGCAGCUCAAAAUGGGUGGUAAAUUCCAUCUAAAGCUAAAUAUUGGCGAGAGACCGAUAGCGAACAAGUACCGUGAGGGAAAGAUGAAAAGAACUUUGGAAAGAGAGUUAAACAGUACGUGAAAUUGCUGAAAGGGAAACGCUUGAAGUCAGUCGCGUUGUCCAGGGAUCAACCUUGCUUUUGCUUGGUGCACUUUCUGGUUGACGGGUCAGCAUCAAUUUUGACUAUUGGAAAAAGAUUAGGGGAAUGUGGCAUCUUCGGAUGUGUUAUAGCCCUUGGUUGCAUACAAUGGUUGGGAUUGAGGAACUCAGCACGCCGAAAGGCCGGGUUUUUAACCACGUUCGUGCUUAGGAUGCUGGCAUAAUGGCUUUAAUCGACCCGUCUUGAAACACGGACCAAGGAGUCUAACAUGCCUGCGAGUGUUUGGGUGGAAAACCCGAGCGCGUAAUGAAAGUGAAAGUUGAGAUCCCCUNGUCGUGGGGAGCAUCGACGCCCGGACCAGACCUUUUGUGACGGUUCCGCGGUAGAGCAUGUAUGUUGGGACCCGAAAGAUGGUGAACUAUGCCUGAAUAGGGUGAAGCCAGAGGAAAACUCUGGUGGAGGCUCGUAGCGAUUCUGACGUGCAAAUCGAUCGUCAAAUUCUGGGGUAUGGGGCCGAAAGACUAAUCCUACC
rnacentral:rRNA from 1 species